rnacentral:rRNA from 1 species
GACGAACGCUGGCGGCGUGCCUAAUACAUGCAAGUCGAGCGGGGAUUAUAGCUUGAUCGCUUCGGUGAGACGGCAUAUAUCCUAGCGGCGGACGGGUGAGUAACGCGUGGGUAAUCUACCUCGUAGUUCGGGAUAACGAGGCCGAAAGGCUUGCUAAUACCGGAUGAGUUCAUGCUUAUGCAUAUAGGCAUGAAGAAAGGGCUAGCCCGCUAUGAGUGACGCCCGCGUCCCAUUAGCCUUGUUGGUUGGGGUAAUGGCCUACCAAGGCGACGGAUCAGUAGCCGGGCCUGAGAGGGUGAACGGCCAACCUUGGGAACUGAGACACGUCCACGACUCCUACGGAGGCAGGCUAGUGGGGAAUAGUUGGACAUGGUCGAGAUCGUCAGCUGCCGAAGGCGAAGGGCUCGUCAGGUUACGUAAACUUUCUUUUAGGUUACGGAAACAAACCACCAAUUAGCGUUUGGUCGUACUUCGGAGGGGUUAAACCCGUUAAGGGAAAACUACGGUACAACCGGGACCUUAACCGG